UGGUGGGUAGUUUGACUGGGGCGGUCUCCUCCUAAAGAGUAACGGAGGAGCACGAAGGUUGGCUAAUCCUGGUCGGACAUCAGGAGGUUAGUGCAAUGGCAUAAGCCAGCUUGACUGCGAGCGUGACGGCGCGAGCAGGUGCGAAAGCAGGUCAUAGUGAUCCGGUGGUUCUGAAUGGAAGGGCCAUCGCUCAACGGAUAAAAGGUACUCCGGGGAUAACAGGCUGAUACCGCCCAAGAGUUCAUAUCGACGGCGGUGUUUGGCACCUCGAUGUCGGCUCAUCACAUCCUGGGGCUGAAGUAGGUCCCAAGGGUAUGGCUGUUCGCCAUUUAAAGUGGUACGCGAGCUGGGUUUAGAACGUCGUGAGACAGUUCGGUCCCUAUCUGCCGUGGGCGCUGGAGAACUGAGGGGGGCUGCUCCUAGUACGAGAGGACCGGAGUGGACGCAUCACUGGUGUUCGG
rnacentral:rRNA from 3 species